AGUGAACGCUGGCGGUAGGCCUAACACAUGCAAGUCGAACGGCAGCACAGUAAGAGCUUGCUCUUACGGGUGGCGAGUGGCGGACGGGUGAGGCAUACAUCGGAAUCUACUUUUUCGUGGGGGAUAACGUAGGGAAACUUACGCUAAUACCGCAUACGACCUACGGGUGAAAGCAGGGGAUCUUCGGACCUUGCGCGAUUGAAUGAGCCGAUGUCGGAUUAGCUAGUUGGCGGGGUAAAGGCCCACCAAGGCGACGAUCCGUAGCUGGUCUGAGAGGAUGAUCAGCCACACUGGAACUGAGACACGGUCCAGACUCCUACGGGAGGCAGCAGUGGGGAAUAUUGGACAAUGGGCGCAAGCCUGAUCCAGCCAUACCGCGUGGGUGAAGAAGGCCUUCGGGUUGUAAAGCCCUGUUGUUGGGAAAGAAAAGCAGCAGGUUAAUACCCCGCUGUUCUGACGGUACCCAAAGAAUAAGCACCGGCUAACUUCGUG
rnacentral:rRNA from 1 species